rnacentral:lncRNA from 1 species
CUGUUUUUCAGUUACCAUAAGAAAUAGUCAAUUUAUUUGGUGUAUGAAAUGAUUGUGAAGUGUACAUGUUUUUCUGGCAGGAUUUUUAUACGACCCCAAAAAAAUUUUGGGUUCGUAUAAUGGUAUGAUGUCGUCGUCUGCGUCGUCAGCGUCGUCUGCGUCGUCCUUAGACACUUUGGUUUCCGGAUAAUGACUUAUGUUUAAGUGAAUAGAUCUUAAUGAAAUUUUUUCAGAAGGUUCAAUACCACAAAAGGAAGGUUGGGAUUUAUUUUGGGGAUGAUGGUCCGAACCGUUUAGGAAUUAGGGGCCCAAAAGGGUAUAAUAAUAAUAACUUGUUUACCAGUAUUUCAAUUGCUCUGAAAGUAUACUGCAAUGUUUAAAAUCACAAGUAGAAGGUUUGGAUUCAUUUAAGGGGUUAUGGGGCCAAAGUUUAGGAAUUAAGGGCCAAAAAGGGGCCAAAACAAGCAUUUUUUCUAGUUUCCAGACAAUACCUUGUGUGUAAUUGCAUGGAUCUCUCUGAAAUUGUACCACAAUGUACCAUAUAACAAAGGGGAGGCUGGGAUUAAGUUUUGGGUUAAUUGCCCAAAAUAUGUAGGAAUUAAGGGCCAAAAAGAAGCAUGUUUCUAGUUUCCAAACAAUCAUGACAAUAACUUGUGUUUAAGUGUAUGGAUCUCUCUGAAAUCGUACUACAAGGUUCAAUAUUACAAAGGAAAGCAUGGGAUUGAGUUUAAGGGUUAUUGCUCCAAGGGGGGUUUCAAUAAAUUGGGGGGGGGUCUCAGUUUACCAUUUUUUUAAGGGAUUUUUUUUUUUUUCAACAUUUGUGCAAUAGAUGUGUUAGAUCUUGAGCCACAUUAAUGUUGUGGCAAAAAUCUAUAUUAUGUCAAAAAUUUGAUCACAAUCAAAAUUCAGACAGUAUCAAACUUGAAUAUUGUGACUAAAUUUGCCCCAACUGUUCAGGGUUCGA